rnacentral:miRNA from 1 species
UAAUACUGCCUGGUAAUGCCA